rnacentral:rRNA from 1 species
GACGAACGCUGGCGGCGUGCCUAACACAUGCAAGUAGGACGCAGUUGCGAACGGGUGAGUAACGCGUAGGUAACUACCUAUUAGAGGGGGAUAACUAUUGGAAACGAUAGCUAAUACCGCAUACUAGUAGAUGCACCUGCGUUGUAUUAGCUAGUAGGUAGGGUAAUGGCCUACCUAGGUAACGAUACAUAGCCGACCUGAAGGGGUAGUCGGCCACACUGGUACUUAGAAACGGCCCAAACUCCUACGGGAGGCAGCAGUAGGGAAUCAUCGGAAAUGGGGGGAACCCUGACCGAGCAACGCCGCGUGAGUGAAGAAUGGUUUCGGAUCGUAAAGCUAUGUUGUUAAGGAAGCGGUACUUAACCAGAAAGGGACGGCUAACUACGUGCCAGCAGCCGCGGUAAUUC